CAGUUUUACUGUAUGUUGUUGUUUCAGAAGUGGACAUUACAUUUAACGCUGCUGAAAAUACAUUGUGAAAAUUGCGGUUAUUUACAGUAAAUGUACAGUAAAUAGUAAAUGUAGCUGUUACGGGCCAUUCACACAGAAAACGUUUUUGCUUAUAAAAACUCAAGCAGCAUCAAAUGGAAUGGGAAAAAAUGCAAGGCCUCAAGACUUUAAAGUUUUUAAAGUUGAAUUUUAAAUUGAGCACUGUGUUUUUACAUGUCAUAUGCAAGACACUGCAAAAGACAUGAGACACAAGCACAAUGGUCAAGCACAUCUGUCCAGCGCAUUUACAGGUACAUAUAAAAAACAAUAGGAAAGUAUAGUGCAAUGCAAUGUAAAUCACAUUCUGUGUAAACGGCCAAUAACCAUGUUGAAAAAAGCAGCAUAAUCAUCAACCACAGCUUAAUUUAAUUCUCUGUGUGCAACAGCUUACUUACCAUGUAACAAUAAACUUUGAAACUGCAUCCCAGCUGUAUUUUUUAUGACUUGAAUCCAACAUAUUCAUUCUACACAGUGACUUUUCUCAUUGAGGAAGAGUGGAUGAACUUACUCUGGGUUUUCUUUGCUUUGCUGGUUGGCAGGCUUGUCUUGGAUUGGACAUCUACUAAUGUAAAAAUAACAUCGCAAGGGGAGUCACUUUUCAGAAAAACAUUGUUUCUCAAAUUUAAUAUAGAAUAACCAGAAAUGCUGUUACUGUAUUAGUAACUUUGUUACUAAUGUACUAAUGUUUAUGAUGCUAUGUUAUUAGUAACCAAUUUUACUGUAUGUUGUUUCAGAAGUGGCCAGUUUAGUUCAUGCUAAAAAAAGACAUUGUGAAAAUUACAACAACAUAUUUUAAAUGUUAAACAAAUUAUCAUAAAUUUGAAAGAAUGAUUGUUUUUUGAGGCCAUUCAGAAAGGAGUCAGAAUAACUGGUUUACAAACGAGGUUACUCACAGGUUUUCAUGGCUGUUGUUGUAGUCGUAUGUUUAGUGGUGGUUGGUGUUGAAGCUGCAGAGACAAUUUAUCAGAAUUACAGGGAAUCAUUUUACAUUAUGCAUUAAGUUUGUUCUCUGGACUAUUGCAAAAACCUUAACUUUCAAUCCUUUUUAGUCCUUUCGUAAUAUAAUUUUGGAGGGAAAACAACAGCAUAAACAUCCAUAUUAGCAACUGAUUUGAUGAUUUAAUGUUUCCAUAUGUAUUAGACAUAUGCCACGUUUCCACCUAAAUUACCUGGAACAAUUGUAUCAGGAACUUUUUUCCCCAGGAACUAUUUUCCCCCCAGACCUGUUGCUUUCUGUGUUUCCACCGCGGUCUGUAGUAGGGAUGGGCGAUACCACAUAUUUUGUUUUUGAUACGAUACCGAUACUUUUAAUGGCCAGUAUCAUCGAUAUCGAUACCGAUACGAUACUUCUAAACUGAACUUUUAGAUUAUGAAAUUGAUUUAAUUAUUAUGAGUACAAUGGGUAAUAAUACCUACUUAAAUUUUUAUUUGAAAUGCAUUUUAACAUUCAAUACGCCUUAUUUGCAAC
ensembl:lncRNA